rnacentral:rRNA from 1 species
CCUGGCUCAGGAUGAACGCUAGCGACAGGCUUAACACAUGCAAGUCGAGGGGCAGCACAGGUAGCAAUACCGGGUGGCGACCGGCGCACGGGUGAGUAACGCGUAUGCAACUUGCCUAUCAGAGGGGGAUAACCCGGCGAAAGUCGGACUAAUACCGCAUGAAGCAGGGAUCCCGCAUGGGAAUAUUUGCUAAAGAUUCAUCGCUGAUAGAUAGGCAUGCGUUCCAUUAGGCAGUUGGCGGGGUAACGGCCCACCAAACCGACGAUGGAUAGGGGUUCUGAGAGGAAGGUCCCCCACAUUGGUACUGAGACACGGACCAAACUCCUACGGGAGGCAGCAGUGAGGAAUAUUGGUCAAUGGCCGAGAGGCUGAACCAGCCAAGUCGCGUGAGGGAUGAAGGUUCUAUGGAUCGUAAACCUCUUUUAUAAGGGAAUAAAGUGCGGGACGUGUCCCGUUUUGUAUGUACCUUAUGAAUAAGGAUCGGCUAACUCCGUGCCAGCAGCCGCGGUAAUACGGAGGAUCCGAGCGUUAUCCGGAUUUAUUGGGUUAAAGGGGGGGGUAGGUGGUCUUUUAAUUCAGCGGUGAAAGUCUGUGGCUCAACCAUAGAAUUGCCGUGAAAACUGGGGGGCUUGAGUAUGUUUGAGGCAGGCGGAAUGCGUGGUGUAGCGGUGAAAUGCAUAGAUAUCACGCAGAACCCCGAUUGCGAAGGCAGCCUGCCAAGCCAUUACUGACGCUGAUGCACGAAAGCGUGGGGAUCAAACAGGAUUAGAUACCCUGGUAGUCCACGCAGUAAACGAUGAUCACUAGCUGUUUGCGAUACACUGUAAGCGGCACAGCGAAAGCGUUAAGUGAUCCACCUGGGGAGUACGCCGGCAACGGUGAAACUCAAAGGAAUUGACGGGGGCCCGCACAAGCGGAGGAACAUGUGGUUUAAUUCGAUGAUACGCGAGGAACCUUACCCGGGUUUGAACGCAUUCGGACCGAGGUGGAAACACCUUUUCUAGCAAUAGCCGUUUGCGAGGUGCUGCAUGGUUGUCGUCAGCUCGUGCCGUGAGGUGUCGGCUUAAGUGCCAUAACGAGCGCAACCCUUGCCACUAGUUACUAACAGGUAAAGCUGAGGACUCUGGUGGGACUGCCAGCGUAAGCUGCGAGGAAGGCGGGGAUGACGUCAAAUCAGCACGGCCCUUACAUCCGGGGCGACACACGUGUUACAAUGGCGUGGACAAAGGGAGGCCACCUGGCGACAGGGAGCGAAUCCCCAAACCACGUCUCAGUUCGGAUCGGAGUCUGCAACCCGACUCCGUGAAGCUGGAUUCGCUAGUAAUCGCGCAUCAGCCAUGGCGCGGUGAAUACGUUCCCGGGCCUUGCACACAC